rnacentral:lncRNA from 1 species
CAAAUGUUCCCUCAGGGCUAAAUCCUAUUCUCCCUAUUGAGAAUCACUGGUCCACUGGUUUACUGACAUGAUUAUCUGUUUCCAAAUCCAGCUAUGGCUUACAUGAACUUCAGUAUGAUUGUGGACACAGAUGGAGACACAAAUCAGGGAGAAAGGUAUAUAUGUAGAAAGUUUAGCUUAGACAUUGUCCAUGGCUUUUGAAUGGCUCCAGCAGCAUCUGUAAGAACCUAUUAAGGCAUUAAAUAACAGGACAAUACCAGAGACACUGAGGCACUUAAAUGCCAGCAUGAACACAUUGCUUGCUGCAAUAGAUUCUUCUCUGGAACUGUGCAAAGCAGAGGUUGGUGGCCUUGGAGGCAGCUACGGAUUUGUGAGAUGAAGUGGAACAACGGUACCCAGGGCAAAAAAAGAGCCCUGAAGCACGAUCUGAGGAGUUGAGGUUGAGAUGUGGCAAGCUGGAAGGCAACAGCAGUUGGCCUAUUAAAAGGGCAGCAAUUACUGAGUAGGAGGCUUUUCUUGAAUGGAGUUAUAUCCUCAAAGAGAAGUGAUGAAGAGGGAAACUGUUUCUUGCUGGUUAUUGUCUAUGAUCUAAUUAAAUGUUUUCUUGGUAUACUUGACAUUUUCCCAUACACCUUAACACAUUGUGGACUUUGGACUACCUAAUAAAAGUAGGAAAAAUCUGGGCAAGCACUAAACAUUCUUCCUUACUUACAUUUUCUUUUCUUUCAUGUUUAACACACAUUUCAAAGAAAAUUGUUUCUUUCUCAUUCUUAAGAGCAAAUAUCAUUAGCUGAUUUCUAAGUUACAGAAUUCUUAAAAAUGUGUAAAUCCUCACUGUGUGAUUUAAAAGAGGGUAGUUUCAAGACUGAAGUGAAUGAUGCAUCUUUAUUUAAAAUGAGACAGAACUUCUCUGAGAGUUUGAAUAUGGGGCUGAAAUAAAUUUCAGAGGCAAGGAAUUAUAGACUAUUAUUGUGUGGGGGACCAGAAUAUGCCACUCCAAAAUAUAAAGAAUUGUUGAGCUGAAGGCAAUUAAGAAUAAAUAGAUACAGGAAAACUCUCUACCCUCCCUCUACUUGCCUACAAGCAGAACGAAGAUUUACAAAGACAAAAGGUAUCUUGCCCCUGCUCUACCAAGAACAACAACCACUGACGGCAGCUUUAAACACGUAUAGUCCUGGGGGCAAUGCUGGAGGAAUCUACAGUUAACAAGCUUUACUUACUUAACCAUUUUUUUGUUGGUUGUCUUUCCCAAGUUGCUGUCCCUAGAGAGUCCCAGUCCUUUUCCUUUGUCAUGUCACUUCUCUAAAAAUUUACUUUUCUUUGUUAAAUCUGCGAUAUAAGCUGAAAUUCAAAGCCACAUCUUUGAGAGCUACUCAGCUACUCAUUCCCUGGGUGUCUCCCAUGUAUAUGUGAAAUAAACCUGUUAACA